rnacentral:lncRNA from 1 species
CUCUAUAAUCUCUGUAAGAGAAUAAUCCUCUUGCAAGAUGCAUGCACAUUCUUAUUGGAUGCAUGUACUUGUUGUGUUGUAAAGAUGUCUUCAUAGGCUGACACUUCACUGAAGAGGCUAGUGAGAAACCAACUUCCCAAUGUGUAAAGAGAGAGAUCCUCUUGAUUACAAAUGAACGUAUUGUGAUUCAAUUUGUCAAAAGAUAAGAAGAAUGGGAGAGGCUGGCAGAAGAAAG